GGGCCCUUAGCUCAGUUGGUUAGAGCGGUCGGCUCAUAACCGAUUGGUCGCAGGUUCGAGUCCUGCAGGGCCCA
rfam:Paenibacillus sp. VKM B-2647 B-2647_006, whole genome shotgun sequence.